UGCCGGCCCCCCCGGUAAUCCGGAGGUGCCAGCGGUAAUUCGGAAUUACUGGGCGUAAAGCGCAUGCAGGUGGAUGAUUAAGUCAGAUGUGAAAGCCCGGGGCUCAACCUCGGAAUAGCAUUUGAAACUGGUCAUCUAGAGUACUGUAGAGGGGGGUAGAAUUUCAGGGUGUAGCGGUGAAAUGCGUAGAGAUCUGAAGGAAUACCAGUGGCGAAGGCGGCCCCCUGGACAGAUACUGACACUCAGAUGCGAAAGCGUGGGGAGCGAACAGGAUUAGAUA
rnacentral:rRNA from 1 species